CUUCAUUUUAUCAGUGUACGGUCUUGGGUAGCAGCGAUAUUUGUUUGUGGGAGUGCGUUAAAGAUAGGGCAACUGUGGUCGGGUGUGGUUGAGACUUGUUUUUACCAUUUGAGGAGUUCAUUCUGUGGCCGUAAAUCUGAUUUUCGUGACACUCGACCUCUUCGUGGCUCAAGUCAAAACGUCAAAAGCUCUGAAAAAUGUAUUUUUUAACUUGAACAAAUUAGGCUUCAAGAAAACUAGAUUUGUGUUUUUCAGGAAGUUUCUCCGAACAGUUACUUGAUGCAACGGAAAAGGCGACUGUUUGUAAACAGCUCUAGUGUUGAUUGCUUUUAUGUCGCUAUAUUUUUUUAAAACCUAGAUGAGAAUGGAGCCUGCCAUUGACACUGUCCUCCGCUUGUCGAAUGUUGUAAUGUCUAGAUGGUUCAAAAGUAAUAGUAUGAUACACCAUCAGCCUCUGUAAACUAGUUAAUUUUCUUACAUUGAAUUCUAACAAACUUUUUAAGAUACUAUUUUAAGAUACUAUUUUAAGCUAUUAAUUUGGACCAGUUAGAAAAGCUUUCAAAUCUCAAAUCCCAGGUUUUUUAAUUUGUAAGAGUCGUGAAAUUCAUUAGCUUUUAAAGUCAAAUGGUAUGUGCCAUUAAUUGGUAUUGGAAGUAUUUAAGUUCUAGUUUUUAUAUAUGCAAGACGCUUGUUAACUAAUAAUGUAUUUGAAAUUUAUGGUAUAGCACAAUAUUUAUCGAAAUUCACGAAAGGAAGCAAGCUGUUAUUUUAGAUUAGAUUAAUCCUUACUGAGUUUGUAAUUUAAAUUUAGUUUGAAUUAAAAUUUUUCAUUGGUGUCGCUGUAAAGGAUAAACACGAGAGAAAGCCUUUUAUGUAAACCUAUUUUGUUUUUAUUAGUUAAUACAAAUUUGGUUUUAGUAGCUGUACAGAUAGUGCAACACAAUUUGUUUUGAGUUCAAUAUGUAAAUGAAGGCGAAUGAGUUAUUGUAAAUAAAGAAAAGUCCACCGAGAAAGCUGUUUUGAAAGAUGAUCACAGGCAAUAAACCAUUUUUCCCGUCAAA